rnacentral:misc_RNA from 1 species
UCUCCACAUUUACGUGGUAGGAUACGCAACCCUAUGGAUACGGCCCUCAUGGAGGAGGAGACAUGCUUUCUCUAAAGUGGGGACAACCGUGCUCAUGUCUUGCCUCUACCUAGCCACAAUAAGUGGUAGGAUACGCAACCUAUGGGGCGAUCCCCAUGUAGGACAAGGCAUGCUCUGUCUGAAAUGGCGAUUACCGUGUUCAUGUCUUGCUCGAUCUCUCCACAGUUAAUUUCUGUUGUAGGAUAAGCAACCCUAUGGAUACGGCCCUCAUGGAUGAUGAGACAUUCACAAUGCUCUCUCCGAAAUGGCGAUAACCGGGUACAUGUCUUGCCUCUACCUCUCCACAUUUACGUGGUAGGAUAUGCAACCCUAUGAUCCGGCCCUCAUGGAGGAUGAGACAUGCCCKCUCAAAAGCGACAACUGGUCUCGGCUGUUGCGUUUGUCUUUCCACGCAAGUGGAAUUGCAGGGUAACUACCGACGCUGGGACGUCAUCGA